GCUCAUAUGUCUCAUAGGUGUUUGCCGAACACUUACUCUGGACUCAGAUGCUGUUCUGGGAAUUUGAGCAACAUCGGUAAAUGAAGCAAGGAUCCCUGACCACUGUCUUCUCUGUCAUCCGGCUGUCGCUAUGGCGCCUGCGUGCCUCUUCUUUCUGCUUGGUUAGAACAACAGCGUGCACACUUCAUUUGCAUGCCUGUGGCGUUUGUAUGGGUAUCUCAACAUACCCAGUGGUGCCAGCUGGCCCACCAAGCAUCCUCUUAGGCAAACAUAUGCACUCGGAUCUCUGGAUGUGCCAGCAGGCAGAGCCCGCCUGAGGCAAAUGAGGGGACCCGUGCUUCCUGCCACAUCCCGGGUCCCCAGACUCCCAGCACAUUUUGUGCUCUGAUGACCCUUCUAGGCUGGACCUAGCGGCCCGUGCUCUGAAGCCCUGAGCAACCUCUCCAGCCCUCUGCUGACCUCAUUUAAGACAGCUGGCAGGUAUGGAAGGAUGAAUGUGGGCUAUCCGCAGGUAUCUGCAGCCAGCAGCGACUCCGGGGGCAGUGAGCAAGCCAGCCCUUGAGGAUUCUACCUGGCUGCAGCACAGUGUACCUGGCCUCUGGGUAAAGACCAAUUCUUCAUCUCAAAAUUGUUCAGCAAGCUAUGGACACGCUUUCGAGGAGCUGGGCACACAGGGUGGAAUCCCCUGCCUCUGUGUCAGAUGACUGGAAACCACGCUACCAUUUCUAGCACCCAGAAUCACAGGGUUUUGGAGUGAGCUCAAGCAAUUGCAGACUUCCUCUUUCCACCUGCCCAGAACUCCUGCUCCACGGGUUCCAGGAGCUGGCCGCCUAGUUGCUGGAGCAGCUAGAACUGAAGCUAGCUGAUCCCAUCCUGGAGUCCUGAUAGCACACAGGGUGCUGAAACCCUGCUUCUCCCUGCCUCAGAGCUGGCCUCCUCCGUCCCUCAGCAGUCCUGCCCAGUGCUCAGGCACACACUCAACACGCAUCAGCAGGGCAUAAAUAUUUAUGACAUGCAACAAAUGCAGUGGCUUAUAGGAUUCCUGGAGCUUCAGGCGGGCGCUCUUUGCGCAAGAAGCAUUUUUAUGUGAGGAGGGGGGCAGUGGGCAGGAGAGCAGUGUGUGCAAGCAGAGACGGGGCUCUUAGCCUCCUAGAAUGUUCUGGAAGCCUGCCCUUCACUGCGGCAGCUGAGUGUUUCCAUUUGUGGGGAGGCUUGGCUGGCAGCUGCCACCAUGCUCUCUGAUAAUCCACCAGCCUUAGAAGCGUGCUCUUCAGAAGCCCCGCCCUGAUGCUACCAGAUGUUCACCAACCAGAGGACGGAGAGAAUUCCAUCUGGAAGCUGAGUCCUCAGGAGGUGGGUAGAGCACAGGGUUCCUAUUCUCAUUGUCACAAGCUUCUAGAUGGUUCUCAGAGUGGAAACCAAGGAUGGCUGCCUCUGCCCCCUACCAAAGCCCCCUUAGGGCGAUUCAACCACAUUCCCAGCACCUAGCCCCCAAGGCAAGAAAUGCAAGUACCAGCCAACUGUGGUGGUAGACAUUUGUAAUCCAAGCACCCUAGCCAGCUCCAGCAAAACUGAAGUCGUACAGUAGGACCCUGUCUCACAAAUCAAUCAAACAAACAAGGGACUGCACAUAUCUCAGACUUCCAACAAUAAACAAAGGUUCACACAUAUCUGCGUCAAUCCCUUCCCUUCUGGCCAGCCAGCAUCUCUCACUGGUGCUGUCUACUAACACCGUUUGACAUAGCUCCUCAUUGGUUCUGAGGGAGGAGGUGAGGAGUGGUGAGCAAAGCCAUGAGACAUGAGUCUUUCUGCAGAGCAGUGAAACCUGGGCCUGCAGUGGAGUCUUGCUACCCUGUGGGCCUUUUCCUGGAGGUGUCAGUGGUGGCCAAACCUGACCUGGCCUUUGAGGACCAUGCCCAGCCCAGGCUGGAGAGGAAAAUGCUUCUGUAGUGGAAGGAGGGCCUUUCAGCUGACCUCCCACAUAGCAAGAUUUAGCCAACUAUAAACUCCCCAUUCAAUCCUUCCAGCACCAGCUCUCAAGCCACUUCCACUCCCAGCACUGUCUGAACCUGCACACCUGUUCCUCCAGACUCUAACCGCUUUCCACCUGCUCCUUUAACCAAGCCAGUCUCCUCUCCCCUAACCUCUGCUGAGGAGGUGAGUAAGGAGUUGGUAGCGGUGGGGGUGGUUAGCCAAUCUUCAUGCCUCAGGGUCCCAUGGCCAGCAUAAAUCUCUCCUUCUUUCUCUUAACACCUGGCCGGCUCCUUGUCACUGUGCUAACAACAUUGUAUUGAUUUGCCCACGUGACUGCUUCCCCCAAAGACCAUAAACUCCUUGAGAGCAGAAUCUACGCUGUGUUUGUGUUUUUGAACGCAACUACCCACCAGUGUUCAAUACGAAACAGGCACUUCAUAAGUACAGAGAGAAAGCUCCUCCACACUUAUAAAUUCACAAAAGCAAACACAAGCUCCAGUCGUUCAUGCUGUUCCCCAGCAAGGCCAGCGCUGACUGGAGAAAAAAGGCCUGCUUACAGCCUUACAGGGGUUUCCAGAGGACUCCUGCAGCCCCAACUCCAAGCACAAGAUACAAGGUCAGCUGCCUGACGCCUUUCCUGCUGGUUAGUCAUUUCCACAGGAGGAGAGGACCCCUGUUCAUGUGACAGAAAAAGUGAGUCACCCAGAACAAGUGCAGCACAAGGGGGGCUGUCUAAUAAAGACAAUGCUACCCCUUCCCCACAUUGAUGGCAGCCAUCAACAGAGAAGAGGAGACAUGGCUCUGGGGUGCCCACCUUGCUUUAAGCACGAAGGCAAGACUGUGGAUAUGAGUGGAGCCUAGCCCCCCACCUGCUAGGGCCCCCAGAGCAGCUGAAGACACACGCCCUGCAGUGUUCUGCUAGGCAGCUCAGUCAGGGUAAAAUUACAGACUGCACCAUGUGGCGUAGUCACUAGGUGUGGGUGUCCUAGGGGUUGGGGCGAGAGGCUGGUGGCAUUUAUGUGACUCACAGAACAAUGAGGCAAUGCUAGGGGUAGGUGGAGAAAAGCAACAGAGGCAAAAACACAGUGACAAUAAACUCUGGAUCCUGCAUGUUACAUGGCUAGCCCAGUGCCUGCAUGAUGCAUGGCUAGCCCAGUGUAGGGGAGGUCAAUUCCUUGGGCUGAAGGGAAAGAGGCAGAGGCUGGAACACGCCUUGAAGGUAAGAAAACUCUUUGAUUGUUAGGACAAGAACAGUGAAAGCAACAGCAUGCACCCCCCCAGAUACUCCAUUCUGGAAAAAAAAAAUAAAGUUGGGCUAUGGAGUUGGCUCAGUCAAUAGGGUGCUUGUCGUGCAAAUGUGGAAAUCAGGGUUCGCAUUCCUAGAACCUAUGCCAAAGCAUAGGCAGACAUGAUGGUAUUCUGCACUCUGAGUAUUCAGGGGAUCUCUGUCUAGCUGUCAGGGAUCCCUGUCAGCGAGCUCCAGGUUCAGUGAGAAACACUGCCUCAAUAAUCAAGGUACAGGCGACCACAGAAGGCCUCCAACAUCAACACUGGCCCUCCAUAUACAUGUGCACAAUGCACACAUGCACCCACACAUAUGUGUGCCCUUAGACAUGUAAACAUGCACGCGCACACACAACACAUGCGUAUACAUGCAAAAUAAUUGAAUUUCAAGUUAACCCAGCCUGGUUUAACAAACUAGCCUUACAAAAGACCCUUAGCCCACAGUUCUCUUUUCAGCUCCCACUGGUAACUGUCUUCUCACUCCAGAGAUCUGUAAGACUCAAAGGCUUGGGCUGGAGAGCUGGCCCAGUGGUUAAGAGCACUGACUGCUCUUCCAGAGGUCCUGAGUUCAAUUCCCAGCACCCACAAGGUGUCUCACCACCAUCUGAUGGUAUCUUCCGGUGUGCAGAUGUACAUGCAGACUAAGGACCCAUAUAUACAAAUAAAUAAGUGUGGAGAGCUUUGGGGGCCGCUUCUAGAAAUUUGUCAAGAACUUGAAAUUGGGCUAGGACAAGGAAGCAGGCUCAAGAUGAAUACAGCCAAGGAAUGUAUUGUAUUCCUUGUAUCUUGGUCAUCCUGAUAAACCCCGAGACACAGUGACCACAGGACUUUCCUUAUUGCCUUGUUUGUUCCUUGACUACUUUGUCUUUGACCUAGAACUGACCCUAUGUUUUUUGCAUGUACCUAGAAUGGUAUAAAAGCAGACCAGAAAAAAAUAAUAAAGCCUCUCUAGCUUCAGCCCCA